rnacentral:rRNA from 1 species
UACGUAGGUGGCGAGCGUUGUCCGGAUUUACUGGGUGUAAAGGGCGCGUAGGCGGGUCAGCAAGUCAGAUGUGAAAUGCAGAGGCUUAACCUCUGAGCUGCAUUUGAAACUGUUGGUCUUGAGUAUCGGAGAGGCAGGCGGAAUUCCUAGUGUAGCGGUGAAAUGCGUAGAUAUUAGGAGGAACACCAGUGGCGAAGGCGGCCUGCUGGACGACAACUGACGCUGAGGCGCGAAAGCGUGGGGAGCAAAC